AGAUGCUCAUCCUGUAUAUCAGAAUUUGAUUACAAACUUUAACAUUUAUUUAAUUUUUCUGACAGAAAGAGAAACCAACACCCACGCCAGAAGAGAUCCCAGACCAUACCAGGAGAGUGGAACCAACACCCACUCUAGAAGAGAACCAGAACCAUACCUGGAUUAUUGUUGUUGUUGGUGCUCUUGUUGUUGCUCUUGUUGCUGUCAGACAAGGCUACGUAGUAUGGCGCAAACGUACCAGAAAAGAUGGGAACAACACGGAGAUGCAAGAACAAGAAAACCUGAAGGCUUGAACAGAGAUAAGACGGAGAAACGAAAGAAACACUCUGGGAAACAUUUGAUUGAUCUGUAGCAAUGCUCUGACUUAGGGACCUAAUAAUAUCACACUAUACACCAAAAACAACACUUGAAAACUGUUUUCAGAAUCACUAACAGAGGUCUGAUCCAUCAGGGCAGCUAUUGAAAGCCUCUUACUUGAAUCACAACAUUUUCACUGAACAGCUUUACAGAUCUAUGUUCAUGAAGAGGAAAAAGGGAGAUAUGUUUUCUUCAUUUGAAUACUUGAAGGUGUUUUUAAACACCUCAUCAAACUUGCUCAACACUAAGCCAAAUGUAGUAGUCACCAGGGAUUAUAGUCCCAUACGAACACUGAGUAAAUGCAUUGAACAAAUCAAUGACUGGAUGAGAGACAGAACUUU